rnacentral:rRNA from 1 species
GAUGAACGCUGACAGAAUGCUUAACACAUGCAAGUCUACUUGAACUUCGGUUUGGGUGGCGGACGGGUGAGUAACGCGUAAAGAACUUGCCUCACAGUUAGGGACAACAUUUGGAAACGAAUGCUAAUACCUGAUAUUAUGAUUUUAGGGCAUCCUAAAAUUAUGAAAGCUAUCUGCGCUGUGAGAGAGCUUUGCGUCCCAUUAGCUAGUUGGAGAGGUAACGGCUCACCAAGGCGAUGAUGGGUAGCCGGCCUGAGAGGGUGAACGGCCACAAGGGGACUGAGACACGGCCCUUACUCCUACGGGAGGCAGCAGUGGGGAAUAUUGGACAAUGGACCAAAAGUCUGAUCCAGCAAUUCGGUGUGCACGAUGACGUUUUUCGGAAUGUAAAGUGCUUUCAGUUGGGAAGAAAAAAAUGACGGUACCAACAGAAGAAGUGACGGCUAAAUACGUG